rnacentral:misc_RNA from 1 species
GAUGAAGAACGUAGCGAAAUGCGAUAAGUAAUGUGAAUUGCAGAAUUCAGUGAAUCAUCGAAUCUUUGAACGCACCUUGCGCCCGCCAGUAUUCUGGCGGGCAUGCCUGUUCGAGCGUCAUUUCAACCAUCAAGCCCCGGGCCUGUGUUGGGGAUCUGCGGCUGCCCGCAGGCCCUGAAAACCAGUGGCGGGCUCGCUGUCACUCCGAGCGUAGUAGCACUCGUAUCUCGCUCAGGGCGUGCCGCGGGCUCCGGCCGUUAAACCGCCUCUUUAGCACCCAAAGGUUGACCUCGGAUCAGGUAGGAGGACCCGCUGAACUUAAGCAUAUCAAUAAGCGGAGGA